rnacentral:lncRNA from 1 species
UCGACCGCGCGCGAGGUCCGCCGCGUCGGCACUGGCGCCAGGAGUACCGCCUUGCUGACGCAAGCCCACCAGCUUGCAUCAGCAAGGACCUUUUUUUAAGUUAGAAAAUAAAUAGAAAUGAGUAGUAAUUAGGUAGAAAUUCAAUAGAUUUUUUGUAUAUGUGUUAGAAAAUCAAAUUAGUGUAAAUUAGUAGUAAUUAGUAGUAAUUAGGUUCGUCGCUCCGUCUAGGUUAGAAAUGAAUCGUGUUUCAUCAUGGUUCCGUCCCCGCCUCCGCCGUCCCGCCACCCUGACUGCCGCCGUCCCAAACUAGGCACCGUCCGUGGUUCCGUCCUCGCCUCCGCCGUCCCGCCUACGUUGCAAAUUCUUGCUAGAAAUUCGUACAAAUUCAUGUUAUUGCUAGAAAUUCGUACAAAAUUCAUGUUAUUGCUAGAAAUUCGUACAAAAUUCAUGUUAUUGCUAGAAAUUCGUAAAAGAUUCAUGUUAUUGCUAGAAAUUCCAAUAAAUAUGGACAAAUUAGUAGAAAUUUGGUAGAAAUUAAUCGUUGCUGCGGCCACCUCGCUCUGUCCCCGCCUCCACCGUUCCGCCGCCCUGGCCUCCGCCGUCCCAACCUAGGCACCGUCGACCGUGCAAAAUUCGUACAAAUUCAUGUUAUUGCUAGAAAUUCGUACAAAAUUCAUAUUAUUGCUAGAAAUUUGUACAAAUUCAUGUUAUUGCUAGAAAUUCGUACAAAGUACUACUAAUUUGUAGAAAUUUGUAUAAAUAUUCCGGACUUUGUGGGAUUC